UACGAAGGGGGGCUAGCGUUGCUCGGAUUUACUGGGCGUAAAGGGCGCGUAGGCGGAUGUUUAAGUCAGGGGUGAAAGCCCAGAGCUCAACUCUGGAAUUGCCUUUGAAACUAGAGAACUUGAGUACGGGAGAGGUGAGUGGAAUUCCGAGUGUAGAGGUGAAAUUCGUAGAUAUUCGGAAGAACACCAGUGGCGAAGGCGGCUCACUGGCCCGUUACUGACGCUCAGGCGCGACAGCGUGGGGAGCAAACAGG
rnacentral:rRNA from 1 species